GUGCUUGCUUCGGCAGCACAUCUGAUAAAAUAAGGAGGAUACGGAGAGAAGUAGCACGCGUCCGUGCAAGCAUGACACUCAAGUUGGUGAAGCAUUCUGUGUUUUU